rnacentral:misc_RNA from 1 species
GAUGAAGAACGUAGCGAAAUGCGAUAUGUAAUGCGAAUUGCAGAAUCCGUGAGUCAUCGAAUCUUUGAACGCACAUUGCGCCCUCUGGUAUUCCGGAGGGCAUGCCUGUUCGAGCGUCAUUAUCACCCCUCAAGCCCGGCUUGUUGUUGGAUGCAGCGCUUAUCCCGCUCCUCCCAAAGAUAAUGACGGCGUCUGCGACGACUCCUGUACACUGAGCUUUCGGGCACGUACACGGCUAGAAGUCCAGACCCGGUCGCCGUCCCCCCCCGCGGGGACACCCAUUACCACAAGGUUGACCUCGGAUCAGGUAGGAAUACCCGCUGAACUUAAGCAUAUCAAUAAGCGGAGGA